UUUACUUUUUUUUGCUCCUAACUGGAGCUUCCGUCCAACGUAUCAAGGUUUCGUUUGAAAUUGUGGGAAGAUUACAUUACCUGCGGUAAGAAAGAACGGUGGAAAAAUACUCUGUUUGUUUCCGUACGUAAUAUUGCGUUCCGUAUAUCACGAUUAGUCGAUUACAAUAUAUUUUCUACGGUUCCAUCGAAGAACGCAGAAGCAUAUCCCUAUAUAUUUUUUUCUCAACUCCAUUUUAUCUAAUAGCGUUAUAUAGAACUCAAUACCAAACUAAGCAUUUAAGCCUAAGUAUAGCUACUUAAAAUAUUGGGUUAAGUACAUAUAGUUUCUCGUAAACAUAUCGAAUAGCAGGUAUAUUUCUAGAAAGUUCAGCUUUUCAUAUUUAUUUAAGCAAAAAUUCUAACGUUUUCAAAUAUACUUCUACUGUUCAGAUUCGUUAGAAAAAUAUAGUUAGCCAUAGAUAAAAUAUUUAAUCUUGAUUAGUGAAUGAGGUAAAUUGACCCUUUUACCCCUCUGAUAUUAUUUGUCGUCGGAAAAAGAAAGAAGAUGAUCGUUGAGGAUUUUUGGAAGAAUAUUUCUGUAUAAUUCUAACAGUUGAGAUUUUUUGAGAAAUAUAUUUGUGAUGACAAAAUAUCAUUUUACUUAUCUUCUGUUAAAAAAUAAACGGUGCUCUAUAGGUAACAAACUAGAAGAGCAAAUAUGAAUGAAUAUCACUGGACUUAUGCAAGAAUAAAUAUGAAAAGUUGAAUUCUGUAGAAAUAUAUUUGCUAUACGAUAUAUUUACAGGGUGCUGUAUGAAACUAAUCCUAACAUGUUAAUCAAAAUAUCAAUCUGAUAGUAGUUAUGUGAAAGAUUGAUUUGAUAGGAAAUAGCCUAGAAUUUUUUAAUAAUAAUCACUUUGAUAGCAGUUUUGUCAAUGUACUUCUUGGGUGGAUGUAGCAAAUGCUUUCUCAUGCUUCGCCAAAACUCUGAUUAAUUGUUGCUUCUCGAAGUAGAAAAACUGUAGUUAGAUGUAGUAACGUUAAUGGGUCGGCUUCGGGGAGGUUUUUGCAACAUUUAAAGUCGAACCCGAUAAAAGGCUGAAAUCUGGAAUCGUACCCAAGUCCUACUGGUAGGAAAAUUCAAAUUCGAAGCUGAACCCGAAAAGAAUACCAAAAGUCCCUACCCAAAACCAGAAAAUCAAUCCUGACCAUUUAAUAUACUAAAUAUAAAUAUUAAAUAAAUCAUCCAUUAAAAUAAAUAUCUAAAAAAUUAUCUUUUUAUAUAUAUUAAAAACAAGUUUUCAUAUAGUUUUGAGAUCGUCUUUGGAUUCGGUUUCGGUAUAGACAAAAACUAUAACUUAAUCCGAAUUCAUCAAUUUUUGUUGUUUUCAUAGAAAUUAUCGAAAUUCGGGUAUCUGUACCUAUUGACAUCCUUGUUGGAACCUGGUGGUUGAUAUAUGCCCUUACUUUGGUAUGAGGGGUUUGAAGUGGUACAAUUCACUCCAAUCAUUUUGCUAGACAUACAAUCCAAGAUGGUUCAUUCUGUCUUGCUAUGCUAAUGAUAUGUCAUUUUCUUUUCUUUAUUGAAGUACAUAUCUAAUGGUUGCAACUUAAUUUAAAAGGCACUAGUUAGGUUAUAAGGAUUUAACACAUACACUUGGAUGGAUCAAAAUAAAUUUCAUAAUUAAAAAUAAAAAUAAAAACCCUGAAAAUAGUGAGAAAAUUAAAUAGAUAAUUACUAAAUUUGAUUUUUUUAAAAAAAAAAAAAAGAAACUCUUCUGAAAGUUGAUUUACUAUAACAACUUAAGCCUUGAGCUCUAAACACCAAAAUAAAAAAGGCAUUUUUUUGAAAUAGUUUCAUACAGUUCCCUAUAAACAUAUCGAAUAGCAGAUAUGUUUCUAAAAAAUUCAAAUUGUUAGAUUUAUCAGUUCAAAAGCCCAGUGAUAUUUAUAUUUGCCUCUUUUAUUUGUUACAGUUAGCUCAUUAUUUAUUUUUAAACAGAAAUUAAAUGAAAUGUCAUUUUACCAUCACAAAUAUGUCCCUCCAAAAGUCCAUACUGUUAGAAUUAUACAGAAAUAUCCUCCCGAAAAAUUUCAAUUGUUAUCUUCUUCCUCUAUAAAAACUAACUCAAUCCACCAUUGUUGCAAUAUCUUUUCUACCUCUUCCCUCACUCCUUUUCUCCUUACCUAUCUAUUACUGAUUCCCUAGCGCUCGACAUGGAUAAAACAAAAUGCGUCGUGGAUGAAUGGGGACGGAGAAACCCUAGAUACGGGUUUGAAACUAGCACGAAGGAGAGGGAGGGAGAUGAAGAGGAAAACGAAGAAGAGUUUCCGUUGCUAGGGUUUUGAUAGAACUAGAAUUUUGAUUGAGAAAAGAAAGUAUAAUAUCAGAGAGGUAAAAAGUUCAAUUUACCUCAAUCACUAACCAAGAUUAAGUAUUUUACCUAUGAUUAACUAUAUUUUAGGGGGUGUAUUUGAAACCGUUAGCAUUUUUCGAGGAAUAAAUCUGACAACUUGAACUUUGUAGGGAUAUUUUUGCUAUUCGAUAUACUCACAGUAAGCUUAAUGAAACUAUCCCUUUUUU
rnacentral:lncRNA from 1 species